UACGGGAGGUAGCAGUGGGGAAUAUUGCACAAUGGGCGCAAGCCUGAUGCAGCCAUGCCGCGUGUAUGAAGAAGGCCUUCGGGUUGUAAAGUACUUUCAGUCGUGAGGAAGGUGUUAAGGUUAAUAACCUUAGCAAUUGACGUUAGCGACAGAAGAAGCACCGGCUAACUCCGUGCCAGCAGCCGCGGUAAUACGGAGGGUGCGAGCGUUAAUCGGAAUUACUGGGCGUAAAGGGCACGCAGGCGGUUAAUUAAGUUGGAUGUGAAAUCCCCGGGCUUAACCUGGGAAUGGCAUUCAAGACUGGUUAGCUAGAGUCUUGUAGAGGGGGUAGAAUUCCAUGUGUAGCGGUGAAAUGCGUAGAGAUGUGGAGGAAUACCGGUGGCGAAGGCGGCCCCUGGACAAAGACUGACGCUCAUGUGCGAAAGCGUGGGGAGCAAACGAGGGAUUAGAUACC
rnacentral:rRNA from 1 species